rnacentral:pre_miRNA from 1 species
UUUCUACUCCCUCCGUCCGGAAAUAAUUGUGCUAGAAAUGAUUGUAUCUAGACUUAUUUUAGUUAUAGAUAUAUUCAUUUCUAGGACAAGUAUUUCUGGACGGAGGGAAUGAUUG